rnacentral:rRNA from 1 species
GACGAACGCUGGCGGCGUGCUUAACACAUGCAAGUCGAACGCGUCUGUCCUCUGGGUUUCUGGGGGGUGGGUGAGUGGCGAACGGGUGAGUAACACGUGAGUAACCUGCCCCCUUCUUCGGGAUAACGGUCUGAAAGGGCUGCUAAUACCGGGUAUUCACUGGUCUCCGCAUGGGGUCUGGUGGAAAGGUUUUUUUCUGGUGGGGGAUGGGCUCGCGGCCUAUCAGCUUGUUGGUGGGGUGAUGGCCCACCAAGGCUUUGACGGGUAGCCGGCCUGAGAGGGUGACCGGUCACAUUGGGACUGAGAUACGGCCCAGACUCCUACGGGAGGCAGCAGUGGGGAAUAUUGCACAAUGGGCGCAAGCCUGAUGCAGCGACGCCGCGUGAGGGAUGGAGGCCUUCGGGUUGUGAACCUCUUUCGCCCGUGGUCAAGCCGCGACGUGGGUCGUGGUGAGGGUAGUGGGUAAAGAAGCGCCGGCUAACUACGUG